GCCUGUGUCGCUCACUGGUUAGAGCAUCAGCCUUUGGACUGAAGGGUCCCAGGUUCGACUCCGGUCAAGGGCA
rfam:Myotis brandtii contig229949, whole genome shotgun sequence.